CCCCUCAACCUUCUAAACUCCAACGAGUACAGGCCCAGUUAGACACCACUGAGACUCUGUGAGAGGCAUCAAUGUGGAGUGUCACUGCUCUCUGCUUUAUAAUGCACACCAGAGAGUUAUGUUUCCAAAGGGCAAUUGCUGGCAGUUAACAAAAGUAAAAGGAAUGAGCCGUAACAGAGCAUGAAUCAACGUUAAAGGGCGGCACGGUGGCGCAGCAGUAGAGUUGCUGCCUUGCAGC